rnacentral:rRNA from 1 species
AAAUAGAUACCCAGGUAGUCCACGCCGUAAACGAUGAGUGCUAAGUGUUAGGGGGUUUCCGCCCCUUAGUGCUGCAGCUAACGCAUUAAGCACUCCGCCUGGGGAGUACGGUCGCAAGACUGAAACUCAAAGGAAUUGACGGGGGCCCGCACAAGCGGUGGAGCAUGUGGUUUAAUUCGAAGCAACGCGAAGAACCUUACCAGGUCUUGACAUCCCAUUGACCGCUAUGGAGACAUAGCUUUCCCUUCGGGGACAGUGGUGACAGGUGGUGCAUGGUUGUCGUCAGCUCGUGUCGUGAGAUGUUGGGUUAAGUCCCGCAGCGAGCGCAACCCUUGUUCUUAGUUGCCAUCAUUUAGUUGGGCACUCUAAGGAGACUGCCGGUGACAAACCGGAGGAAGGUGGGGAUGACGUCAAAUCAUCAUGCCCCUUAUGACCUGGGCUACACACGUGCUACAAUGGACGGUACAAACGGUUGCCAACCCGCGAGGGGGAGCUAAUCCGAUAAAACCGUUCUCAGUUCGGAUUGUAGGCUGCAACUCGCCUA